rnacentral:misc_RNA from 1 species
CAAGAAACGAGGCCGCGUGCGCUCGCCCGCCCGGCCCCGCUCCUUACCUUGCCUACUGCAACCGUUUGUUGCUUCCUGGCGGCGGACUGCCCGCCGCCAGGGACGUUGAUACAACCCUGUAUAGAAGCAUUGAAGCUCUGAGAAAACGCGAAAUCGUA